rnacentral:lncRNA from 1 species
AGUGUUUGAACUUAUGGAGUCACGUACACAAGUCAGACAAAGUAGGAAAGAAUUGGUCUAUGUUUGUAUGUUCAAUUUGAAAGUACUUGAUUUGAUUAAAUAUAUAAGCUAAUUUAAUUAAAAAUUAAGUUAUAGAUCAAAUGAGAUUGAAGAGUUGACUAUAUCUAGCUAGCACAACACAUGAGGUUCAGGUUUGAUUCUGGAGAUGAAUAAUUUCUGAUCUAUGAUCCAU